AGGAUGUGCAUUAAGGUUUGAAAUGUUUGCCUGACUUAAUAUCUUCAUUUUCAAGUUCCACCAUCAUACUAGUGGCUUGAUUCUUCGUUUCAAGCCAUGGUAGUCCUACACAUACAAAAUGACAUCAUGCAGUUCAAAAGCAAUGUGCGUUCUCUGGUUGUGGAAAAGGAAAAGUUCCGAAAACAGUUGAGAGGCAAUUCCGACAUGAACUUAAUAAACCUCCACCAAAAGACGGUCGGGAAAUGUUUUGCGUAAAGGAGGGGCAGGUAGAUCAAGCGUCAGUGAUGAUUAUGAAGAUCAGCGUCAGUUUCCACCAUUGGAAAUGUGUUUAUCCUCAGUCCCAGUAAAUCCAUUCGCCGUUGAGCAAGGUAUUCCUAAAACUGACGUUUGAUGCGCACUAACUCAUAACAAAAUGUUUGGAUGGGACACCCUGUCAUUGAGCUACAGAUGUGCGUGAUUUCAUUGAUGAAACAUUCCCAGAUCGUUGGAUUGGUACAGGUAGACCCCUUUCAUGGCCACGUCGUUCUCCGGACGUCACACCACUUGACUACUUUUACUGGAGAUACCUGAAAAACCGAGUUUUUGCUGCAGAGAUUCGUAGCAUCGAAGAACUAAAAAAUCGAAUCACCACAGAAACAGCUACUGUGAUUCCUAAAAUACUUAAUAAUAUCGGGAGGGAA